rnacentral:rRNA from 1 species
UACGUAGGGUGCAAGCGUUGUCCGGAAUUAUUGGGCGUAAAGAGCUCGUAGGCGGUCUGUCGCGUCGGUCGUGAAAACUUGGGGCUUAACCCUGAGCUUGCGGUCGAUACGGGCAUGACUGGAGUUCGGUAGGGGAGACUGGAAUUCCUGGUGUAGCGGUGAAAUGCGCAGAUAUCAGGAGGAACACCGGUGGCGAAGGCGGGUCUCUGGGCCGAUACUGACGCUGAGGAGCGAAAGCGUGGGGAGCGAACAGG